CGAAAGGGAAAGAGCCCAAACCAUUGAAUUUAUUCAGUGGGGUUGUAGGACUACGAUGUGAGACAGAGAGGUAUAGUUGAAGUCUUUGGGAAAAGACGCCAGAGAGGGUGAGAGCCCCGUAAGCGAAAUAGCUCGAAGCUCUAGUAGUAUCCUGAGUAGGCCGGGACACGAGGAAUCCCGGUUGAAGCAGCGAGGACCAUCUCGCAAGGCUAAAUACUAACUAGUGACCGAUAGUGAACCAGUACCGUGAGGGAAAGGUGAAAAGAACCCCGGAAGGGGAGUGAAAGAGAACCUGAAACCGUGUGCCUACAAGUAGUCAAAGCACAUUAAAGUGUAAUGGCGUGCCUUUUGUAGAAUGAACCGGCGAGUUACGUUAAGUAGCGAGGUUAAGACAGAAAAGUCGGAGCCGAAGCGAAAGCGAGUCUGAAUAGGGCGAGCAGUUACUUGACGUAGACCCGAAACCAAGUGACCUACCCAUGUCCAGGUUGAAGGCUAGGUAAAACUGGCUGGAGGACCGAACCCACGUAAGUUAAAAAUUG
rnacentral:rRNA from 1 species